rnacentral:rRNA from 1 species
UCACUUGUUCUCUAAAUCAGGACUAGUAUGAACGGCACCACGAGGGUUAUACUGUCUCCUUUUUCCAAUUAGUGAACUUAAUCUUCCCGUGAAGAAGCCGGAAUAAUCCUAUAAGACGAGAAGACCCUUUGGAGCUUUAAACAUCUUAGCACUUGCAUCACUAUCUUUAUAUUUCCGAAUAUUAUAAUUCCCGCAUGAUGACUAUAAGUUUUAGGUUGGGGUGACCGCGGAGUAAAAUAAACCCUCCACACUGUAAGAAUCUCUCAAAUCUUAACUAAGAGCCACACCUCUAAGUAUCAGUAUACUGACAUCUAUUGACCCAAUAUAUUUGAUCAACGAACCAAGUUACCCUAGGGAUAACAGCGCAAUCCAUUUCAAGAGCCCCUAUCGCCAAAUGGGUUUACGACCUCGAUGUUGGAUCAGGAUUUCCCAGUGGUGCAGCCGCUACUAACGGUUCGUUUUUUCAACGAUUAAAAUCCU